GUAACGGUUGAACAUGACUGUACACCAAGAGCCAAGAAGAGUCAUACUAGUGGAUAUUUUCUUUGCUGGGACACGGUUGCGCUGAACCCUCUCGACCAUCGUUUCGGGGACUCUGAUGACAGUGAAGAGCCAGAAAAUGGUGACUUUGCAUCUCUGAGGUACCUUCCAACUCGCCUGGUAUAUCAGUUGAAGCCUCAAGCCCAAGCCAAUUGCACUGGCAAACUCCACCAUCUCGCCGAGUGCCAGGCAGCCGAGUCACUACCCCUCAACCUGGAGAAAACUGUUAAGGACCGCAACACUCUUCACCACCUCAACUCCCUGCACCUGCAUUUAACAUACGGAGAGUUACUCAAGGAACGGCAGUCCCUCCUCAACUCCCUCCACCCCCACACCAGCCCUCAACGUGCAGCGAACAGAGGAGCUUUGUGCUGUGAGGAAAAACAUGGUGACACGGUCUGCCACGGACACUGAGGUCACCAAACACGCAAUCAGGUGUUUCAAUCGGCGGUGGAUCGGGCAACGAGGAGAUGUGUUCCGCCUCCAUCCACACAAAUGGAGUAAUAGGAGAAAUAAGCAUUAAACAAUCUUUUUAU